GGUCAGAUGGCCGAGCGGUCUAAGGCGCCAGACUAAGGAUCAGCAUCGCUUCGAUGCUCCAAUAGCAGAGUGACUUCUGUUAUCUGGUCACUCCGGUGGCGUGGGUUCGAAUCCCACUCUGAUCA